CGACAGGUUCAGCAUACAGACAGGAAUUUGGUGAGAGAGUAAAACAAAAUGAUGGUCGGCUGUUCUGCGCGUCUGGUGGUCUGGAGUUUUAUCUGGAUGUUAGCUUCUGCAGAAGGAGAUGCUGAGGUGUCCUGUGUUUUUAUGGAGAGCUGCAUCUUACCGUGCAGCUUCCAGAGCGGCACUGAUGUAGUCAUCCACUGGUAUCAUGUGACAACAGGAAACACUCCUGUCCACUCCUACUACAACAACCAAGACCAGCUGGGACACCAGGGCCAGCGCUUCAGAGGCAGGACGUCACUGUUCAAGGACCAGAUCUCUGGAGGAAACGCCUCGCUCCAGCUGACUGGGGUCCAGGUUCAGGACCAGGGAAGAUACAAGUGCUUCACCAGCACCAUCAGAGGCAACAAGGAUUCAUUUAUCAACCUACAAGUGGACGCUCCGGUCCAUAAAGUCGACAUGGAGCAGGAAGAAAACAGGAUCACCUGCAGCUCAGAGGGGAUCUACCCUGAGCCUGAACUCACCUGGUCCACCAGCCCUCCGUCCAACGUGACCUUCAAGAACACAACCAGAGUCCAGCAGACCGAACAGCAGCUCUACAACAUCAACAGCUCUCUGAUACUUUCAGACAGGGUUACUGAUCUGGUCUACAGCUGCACCGUCAGCACUCGCAGGAACAGGAGGAGAGCCACUUUGAGGGAACUGAGGAGUCAAACUGGUGACACAGGUGUUAAUGAAGGUGUGGUGGUUGGAGCCAUUUUGGUUGUAGUUCUAGCAGCAGGCCUUUUGUAAAAAAAAAAUGUAAAAAGAUGAUGUGUUUUGGACAGAGAGACCAGACACAGAGCAAUGGAACUUUGUCGGGAAAGAUCAACUUGAAGAAAGGUUUGACGAGAGAGGAAGAAGCAAAAGUUUGACUCCAUAAUGAACCCCGAGCAUGGUUCGAAUUACGGGGUUUGACCCCCUCAAAGGGCAAAACAACAAUUCAGGAGGCUCUUUCUUACCUGUCAUUGUAAAUAUUACAAUAUAUUUCACAUACUGAUGCCUUAAAUUCAAGAAUCCUAAAGUAUGAUAUCUGACCUAGAAUUGGACCACACCAUGUCCUAACACGGACGUUAGUUGAACAUUAACUCGCAGCUGCUCCAUGCACAGUGCAUCACACGUUAAUGGAAACGCUGCAGUUUAAUGUCAGUAGUUAGCUAUCUAGCUUGUUUAAUACACUUAACAUUCCCGCCUUCAGAGUUUCGUAAUUAGCAUGUAUUUUACUUUAAAUGAGCUAAGUGAUGUUAGCUAGCUGAGAGCCCCCCGAGUCAUUUCAUUACCACUAUAUCCAUAUUUUAUGUAAUUGUUAGCCAACACUGGUGCUCAGGCAUGAGCAGUAAAAUAAAGGAUUAGUUAUCGUAGAUACACAUUUUAAAGCCAAUAUAGUGUUUAUUAUUUUACCUUAAAGUAUUUUGUGAGUCUUUCUACAGUAAAGAUGAUAUUUGUUUUCAGUGUAGAAUUCAGGAGUUGUACCUGGCUAGGUAAACGUUAAAAUCCAGUGUUAUUUCUAUAGUGCCAAUUCAGAACAAACGACAUCUUAUUGCACUUUUUAUAUUGAGCUAGACAGUAUUCUGUUUAAUAUCAUUUAUUUCCUAAUUCCCCAACAGUGUAUGACGACUACUUUAUUGAACGCAGAUUACAUCUUAUUUGCUAAAACUUGAAAUGAUAAUUAUAAUAAUUUUAUGAUAGUGUCUUUGGUUCUGGUUCAGUAUUGUGUGGGUCUGUUUUGAGCGGUCAUGACGGUCUGCUGUUGUGUCUGACUAUCUGGCAGUUUUGACCUCUGACUACAAAAGUUGUCAUGUGGUAUGGAGCACCAUGAACUGAUGUCAUGAAUUUGAUUUACCAUCAUCUACAGGCUGCAUACAUUAGUUAAAUAAGCGAGGAUACUGUGAGUUUUGUAUUAAAAGCCUGCGCUCUACUGGGUUUUCUUUUUGACCUGAAAAAAAAAAAGGUUGACUCCCCCUCCCGGUUGUCUCUGUAUAAUUCACAGUCUGCCCCUGAGUUACUACAAGAAGCAACAGCUGUUACGUCCUCAUGUGGCUCAGGCCCAGAGGUAAAGAGAGGAGUAACAAAUAUAAAAACCGGGCCACAAGAAACAGGAAACAGAUUACAUGCAAACAAAUAAGAUAUUUAUUAACAAACAGACCUGAAACAGGAAAAAAAGAGACACAGAAACACAAAGAACUAUUUCACUAAAAGAGAAGAUAAAUGGUUUUAACUAAAAACACUAACACACUUAACAUCCUCGCUCUUCCAUGGGAGUGUACGAGCCCACAGCACCACCAGUCCCAAGCUCACUUUUAUUUUAUUCUGAAAUCAAUCAGCUGUUUAUAACUUUGAGCACUAGACUGCUUGUGAUGAGCUCACCUGCCAAAUACAAUUUCAAUCUGUUGGUGAGGAGUUAGUUUCUGCCUGUUAGUCUGCAGAAGAUGAACCGGACAGGGAUCAGAGUCCCAAAGCUGCACGGGGGACAGAGGGACAGAGGACAGAGGGACGGCGUCCCUUAAUGUGGUGCAGCAACCUUCAUGUUUAAAAUGUUCAGAAACAGUUUGACUUGUAUACAGAAAUUGUAUGUUGUUGUUCAUUGUUGCUUUUUAUAGACUGUAUAUUUUUUAACACAUCUAUUUUUUUACCAUUUGUAAACAUAACUGUUCUGUUUAUAUUUGUUUACAAUCUGUUCAGCUGGAGGUCUGUAAAAUGUUCUGUGUGCAACAUCAAGAGCAACUUAAAUUCUUUGUAUUAGUUUGCACAGUUGUACCUAAUAAAGUGGCCACAGUGUAGCUGCUGAUUAAUUACUGUAAGUCAAUACAAAUACAGUACAAGGCUGUGUGUUUGUUGAGAUGUUUGAGGAUCAUUGAGUGGAUAAAUUGUCACCACGUCAUCAUUUUCUUCAGACUUUAUGUGACUUUUGAUAUUUCACCUGUGAGGCUGGAGUCAUGUUUUCAGAAUCAGCUUCAGUGGCCAGAUAUGUGUUCACAUACGAGGAAUUUGACUCCGGUCUCAUAUUGUUCUCGAUGUGCGUACACAGAAGAAGCAUAAAAAAACAGCUCAACAAACAACAGAACAAACACCAUAAACUAAAACAUUUGUACACAGAGAGUGUUAUGAGGUGAAAAAGGUGCUGGAAUAAAUAUUUUGUGCAGGUGUUAUUAUGAACAUUUUCUGUGCUACAGUUACAAUUACUACUAGUACUACUCUACUGUACUUUUUGUGUUGUCCAAACUAAAAAAUCAUGUUUUUUAUAUUUUGACUUCAUUUAGCUGACGCUUUUAUCCAAAACGACUUCAAUUGCUAUAGAUGUCAGAGGUCACACGCCUCUGGAGAAACUAGGGGUUAAAGGGAUACUUUGUGAUUCUUAUCCAAUACAAUUUUUAUUAAAUUCUGCAAAUAUUUCCUACAUUGCUAUUACAUAGCAAAACUGUUUUUUUUAAACCUCAAAAUAAUAUUUUCUUUUAAAAUUAGCUGUAGCUGUUUUAGCUGUUUUUCCACCGGUUUGCAAACCUAUUACACAAGUUACAUGCACAACAAAGAUUUAUAACACAAUAAAGCAAAGUGAAAAUGCCAAAAAACAUCUACAACAAAACACUGAGGGUCUGGAUUUAACCAUAGACUGCCUGGUUGUCACAUGGGGUUUGAAGCUGGCAGAUGCUGAGCCUUCACUGAUUGGUUUCUGUACUGCACUUUUAUUUUCUUUUGUUUCACUUUGGACAAUUUACAACGGCGCUGUAACUGUGCUUCUGGUCUGUAAUUUUAAUUUAUUUAAUUUGAUCAAAUUUUAUUGUAUCUUAAUUGAUUUUGAAUUGCCUCUGUGUUUGAAAUGUUCUCUAUAAAUAAAGCUGCUUUGCCUAAAUAUUAAAUUAUUUUGCU